AUGCACAAAAAAAAGUUAAUCUCAAACAUGUUUAGCGCAAAAGGAAAUAGCACGGCGACGUCUCCCGAAUUAACUCUUGAAUCAAACAAAUUGUUCAACAAAAUUCAAACAAAACUCCUUCCAAUUGACUCAACUAUAACCAAAACAUUGUUAACAUUAAAACUUAAUAUUAACACAAGUGAUACCGUCAUUCACGCUUCAAACACCAUUAAUACAGAUAACAAUCCAAUACUUCAAUUGAUUUAG